CAGCAGCCACGGUAAUACGUAGGUGGCAAGCGUUGUCCGGGAUUAUUGGGCGUAAAGGGCUCGCAGGCGGUUUCUUAAGUCUGAUGUGAAAGCCCCCGGCUCAACCGGGGAGGGUCAUUGGAAACUGGGAAACUUGAGUGCAGAAGAGGAGAGUGGAAUUCCACGUGUAGCGGUGAAAUGCGUAGAGAUGUGGAGGAACACCAGUGGCGAAGGCGACUCUCUGGUCUGUAACUGACGCUGAGGAGCGAAAGCGUGGGGAGCGAACAGGAUUAGAUACCCGUGUAGUCCCUGUCUCUUAUAC
rnacentral:rRNA from 1 species